UACGAAGGGGGCGAGCGUUGUUCGGAAUUACUGGGCGUAAAGGGCGCGCAGGCGGCUCUGAAAGUCAGAUGUGAAAGCCCCGGGCUUAACCUGGGAAUUGCAUUUGAUACUCUGGAGCUUGAGUACGGGAGAGGAGAGUGGAAUUCCCAGUGUAGAGGUGAAAUUCGUAGAUAUUGGGAAGAACACCGGUGGCGAAGGCGGCUCUCUGGACCGUAACUGACGCUGAGGCACGAAAGCGUGGGGAGCAAACAGG
rnacentral:rRNA from 1 species